UGUUUCUGUUCAAAUCACGUUAAAGGCAGUUACAACUGUUCUAUUUUCUAUAAGAUUUCUUACUCUUUUCCUAGAACUGAUUCUGCCAUGAAUGACAGAUUAUUCUAAAAGUUUAAAACAGGGGUUCAACUGAUUUUAACUGUAUCUUGGUCAUUCCAAGGGAUUUUUGUGGAGAAUAUAUUAUACGUGAAGCUUUUCAUUAUUCCUAAUUGUUAAGAUGAAACGAC
rnacentral:lncRNA from 1 species